UAACAAUAAAAAAAUUAAUUUCGACUUAAAAAUAGGUUUUAUAAACCCUUGUUAA
rnacentral:tRNA from 2 species